UCGCGUCGGGCUGCAGCAGCGCUGCGGGCUCAGCGGUUCUGGGGGUGCAGCGUCGUCGUUGGGGUUCAGCUGUGCCUUGGGUGCUGCAUCACUUUGGUACGGCGCCACGUGGGGGAUCGGCAUCUCUGGGUUCAGCGUCACGGUGGGGUUCAGUUCCAGUCGCUUUGGGGUGCAGCAUCACCUUGAGUUCAGCACUGCUUUGGGGUUCAGCAUCACUUUGAGUUCAGCACUGCUUUGGGGUGCAGCAUUGCUUUGAGUUUAGCACUGCUUUGGGGUGCAGCAUCACGGUGGGGUUCAGCAUCACAUUGGGGUUCAGCAUCACAUUGGGGCUCAGUUCCUGUUAGAGGUUCAGCAUCACCUUGAGUUCAGCACUGCUUUGGGGUUCAGCAUCACCUUGAGUUUAGCACUGCUUUGGGGUGCAGCAUCACUUUGGGUGCAGCAUUGCUUUGGGGUUCAGCAUCACCUUGAGUUCAGCACUGCUUUGGGACUCAGCAUCACUUGGGGUGCAGAACCACGUGGGGGUUCAGCAUCACUUUGAGUUCAGCACUGCUUUGGGGUGCAGCAUCACUUGGGGUUCAUACCAAUCACUUUGGGGCUCAGCAUCACCUUCAGUUUAUCAGCAUCAUUUGGGGUGCAGUACCUUAUGGGGAUUCAGCAUCUCUUAGGGUUCACCAUCACCAGCAUCACCUUGGGGUUCAGCAUCACUUUGGUUGCAGAUCCAUUGUGGGGUGCAGCAUUGGUUUGGGGUGCAGCAUCACAGUGGGAUUCAUACCAAUGACUUUGAGGUUCAGCAUCACCUUCAGUUUAUCAGCAUCACUUGGGGUGCAGUACCUUAUGGGGGUUCAGCAUCUCUGAGGGUUCAGCAUCACCAGCAUCACUGUGGGGUUCAGCAUCACUUUGGGG